UUGUCCAAAGAGGUGCUCGUUCAAGUAGCCUCGCUUGAAUCAUCACAUGCAAUUUGGACCGCGUUAGCAAACAUGUUUUCUGCGGUCUCUCUGUCUCGUGUCAAUAACAUCAGAUCGGCCCUCACAAACGCCCAGAAGGGGUCACAGUUGGCCUCCACGUUGUUCGGGCAGAUGCGUGCCCUCUUCGAUGAGCUUGCGGCGGCAGGCAAACCGAUCGGGGAGGACAAACUCAUCUCUUUCAUCGUCGCCGGGCUUGAUAUGGAGUAUCAGCCCAUCAUCUCUACACUCGACGUCCGCACCGAGCGCAUCACCGUCGACGCACUCUUCUCGAUGGUGGCUAACUUCGAUCAACAUGCUGAGAUGUUCAGCAGCGCUGGUGGCUUCAGUCAUCAGCAAACGCCGCUUCCAGGGGUCGGUCGAGUGGCGGCAGAGGCGGCUACCGCAACCAGAAGCAAGGUGGCCGCAGCGGGGGCUACUCUGGUGGUGGCGGCCAGAACCCUAGCAGCGGCUAUCCUGGCAUGGGUAGCGGCGGCUACAACCAAGGGGGCGGCGGCUACAACAACCACGGCGGCGGCGGCUAAAACAACCAUGGCAACGGCGGCGGCCAAAGCAGCGGCCAUCGUGGCGGCGGCGGCGGGGGUACUACAACAACAAUGGCCCCCCACGCCACUACUACAACAACAACCAAGGGGGCCGCUUCGUCGGGUAUGA
rnacentral:rRNA from 1 species